rnacentral:rRNA from 1 species
UAGGGAAUCUUCGGCAAUGGACGAAAGUCUGACCGAGCAACGCCGCGUGAGUGAAGAAGGUUUUCGGAUCGUAAAACUCUGUUGGUAGAGAAGAACGUUGGUGAGAGUAGAAAGCUCAUCAAGUGACGGUAACUACCCAGAAAGGGACGGCUAACUACGUGCCAA